UGGGUGUGUGUGUGUCAUCCUUCCUGUGUGUAAGGGGGUGUGUAUACAUGCUUUUUCUUUCUUCUUUUCCCAUGAAAAGCUCUGAUCCUCAGGACUCCAGCGCCCCAUCUCCGGUCUCCUUCAGCAGGGUCCCGACCAGGGGAGCAUCAUCGCCUGAGUCACCAAGUGGGCUAGGGCGUCUGCUGGGACUCCAACGGGCUCCUCCUCCCUUACCCAGAAUGCACCGCAGCGUCCCAGACUUCUGGGCCGUGCUCGCUCAUGGCGAGAUAGCCAGGGAGCUACAAAGAGGGCUGUUGGGGGAGCAUGCUGGAAGCCCCAGGCUAGGAGGAGACGCUCUUGGUGGAGUCCAGUGCAGUGGGCGGCUCAAGGAGCCAGCCCCUGGCCUGCUGAUUGGCUGGCUUCCCUCUGAGACCUCUUAUUACGGGUUAGCCUGAUAACGAAGCGAACAAGCAGGAGAUACAUCAAGGCUGACGCAUGGCAAGCUCCCAAACUGGAGAGAGGAGCGCUCACCAAAAAUAACCAGA
ensembl:lncRNA